rnacentral:rRNA from 1 species
GACGAACGCUGGCGGCGCGCCUAACACAUGCAAGUCGAACGAGAGAUGAGGAGCUUGCUCUUCAAAUCGAGUGGCGAACGGGUGAGUAACGCGUGAGGAACCUGCCUCAAAGAGGGGGACAACAGUUGGAACGACUGCUAAUACCGCAUAAGCCCACGGCUCGGCAUCGAGCAGAGGGAAAGGAGUGAUCCGCUUUGAGAUGGCCUCGCGUCCGAUUAGCUAGUUGGUGAGGUAACGGCCCACCAAGGCAACGAUCGGUAGCCGGACUGAGAGGUUGAACGGCCACAUCGGGACUGAGACACGGCCCAGACUCCUACGGGAGGCAGCAGUGGGGAAUAUUGCACAAUGGGGGGAAACCCUGAUGCAGCGACGCCGCGUGGAGGAAGAAGGUCUUCGGAUUGUAAACUCCUGUUGUUGAGGAAGAUAAUGACGGUACUCAACAAGGAAGUGACGGCUAACUACGUG